CAGUGAAAUUGAACUCGCUGUGAAGAUGCAGUGUACCCGCGGCAAGACGGAAAGACCCCGUGAACCUUUACUAUAGCUUGACACUGAACAUUGAGCCUUGAUGUGUAGGAUAGGUGGGAGGCUUUGAAGUGUGGACGCCAGUCUGCAUGGAGCCGGCCUUGAAAUACCACCCUUUAAUGUUUGAUGUUCUAACGUGGACCCGUGAUCCGGGUUGCGGACAGUGUCUGGUGGGUAGUUUGACUGGGGCGGUCUCCUCCUAAAGAGUAACGGAGGAGCACGAAGGUUGGCUAAUCCUGGUCGGACAUCAGGAGGUUAGUGCAAUGGCAUAAGCCAGCUUGACUGCGAGCGUGACGGCGCGAGCAGGUGCGAAAGCAGGUCAUAGUGAUCCGGUGGUUCUGAAUGGAAGGGCCAUCGCUCAACGGAUAAAAGGUACUCCGGGGAUAACAGGCUGAUACCGCCCAAGAGUUCAUAUCGACGGCGGUGUUUGGCACCUCGAUGUCGGCUCAUCACAUCCUGGGGCUGAAGUAGGUCCCAAGGGUAUGGCUGUUCGCCAUUUAAAGUGGUACGCGAGCUGGGUUUAGAACGUCGUGAGACAGUUCGGUCCCUAUCUGCCGUGGGCGCUGGAGAACUGAGGGGGGCUGCUCCUAGUACGAGAGGACCGGAGUGGACGCAUCACUGGUGUUCGGGUUGUCAUGCCAAUGGCACUGCCCGGUAGCUAAAUGCGGAAGAGAUAAGUGCUGAAAGCAUCUAAGCACGAAACUUGCCCCGA
rnacentral:rRNA from 2 species